CAGUCGCCACGGUAAUACGGAGGGUGCAAGCGUUAAUCGGAAUUACUGGGCGUAAAGCGCACGCAGGCGGUCUGUCAAGUCAGAUGUGAAAUCCCCGGGCUUAACCUGGGAACUGCAUUUGAAACUGGCAGGCUAGAGUCUUGUAGAGGGGGGUAGAAUUCCAGGUGUAGCGGUGAAAUGCGUAGAGAUCUGGAGGAAUACCGGUGGCGAAGGCGGCCCCCUGGACAAAGACUGACGCUCAGGUGCGAAAGCGUGGGGAGCAAACAGGAUUAGAUACCCGAGUAGUCCCUGUCUCUUAUAC
rnacentral:rRNA from 1 species